GCCCCUCCCCAGGUGCCCCGGCAGCGCCGCGUGUGGGCGGGCGGCGGUUGUGGGGGCGUUGGAGGCGCGGGAUCCUCCGCGGGCGCGGCGGGAUUCGUACCUCAGCGCCCGGCUCAGAAAAGUCUUUGAACUCAGCCUUGGCUUUCGGCUCGUGCUGGGACGGCGGAUUUCGGCAUCCGCGUCUGAGGUGUUGAGCGAUGGGUGUCGACGGAUGUCUUUGCCCGAGUUAGCAGCGCGUUGGCAAGCGCGUGGAAGGGGACGUAAACAAGGUUGUAGGCACAGCUUUCCUACAUUGAGAAAGCGAAGGGCAGUAACGAGGCGGAAUGGCUGCAGCGUUCUGCUCUACUUACGAGGAGAUAAAGCUGAGUGAGAUUCCUGCUACGCAGCAGAGAAGUGCAAAUGCUGAUUAAAAAGCGUUAUUUAAAACUCGGCGUUAACGACAGGCUCUGUGCUGCAGCCCGGUAGCCCCUGUGAGCCAACUGCAGCUGCUCUUGUGGUGACUUUCCAGCUUUCCACUGAAAAGCCUACGAAAAGAAUGAGAAAGUGCAGCGCUGUUGCUGAAGGCAAGUCUGAGGAGGGACUGCAGGAACAGCUUCCACACAGUGACUCUUCCACCUUAUUUACUGUGCUAAAGCAUAAACAGUCGAUGGCUUUACGGAGUGUGUGUCCAUCCCAAACGACUUGGAAAGCAUCCAGGUGACGUUUAGGGAAGCCAGGUGAGGAAUGAGAGUUAGCCUCGUGGAAGCAUUUUAUUGUCUUCAGUCCUGGAGCUUGAUCCUUCUCCGUUCAAGUCAACAAGGGGAUCUGGUUGACUGAUGGAAAAGAGCAGAGCCCUUACUGCCAAGGAUGAGCAAAUGAUUUUUUUUAAUGUGUUCUUACCUAAGCUACGUGCUGAUGCCCAUACUGUAUUUCUGCUACACAGCAUGUGAGAACCACAUUCUUAUUUCUUGUGAGGAUCAAACGUACACCAAUCACACCUCUGUCAUUGAGUUUGUGAAAUGAGAGCACCCAGAGCACCCGCUGGAUGUUUGAGUAGUUUAUCAGGUAGUUUCAUUUAGACUGUAGGCUGUUAAUUAAUUAAGUGUUAAUUACCAAGAUGCAUUCAAGACUUUCUCAACACACAGAGUUACUCCAAGCUGAUGUAUCACCCAGUACCAUAGUUAAUUACUACUAUGCUAUGAAAAACAUUUUAAAAGAUGGUGAAUAAAACCAUAAAAUAAUUGA